GACGAACGCUGGCGGCGUGCUUAACACAUGCAAGUCGAACGGAAAGGCCCUGCUUUUGUGGGGUGCUCGAGUGGCGAACGGGUGAGUAACACGUGAGUAACCUGCCCUUGACUUUGGGAUAACUUCAGGAAACUGGGGCUAAUACCGGAUAGGAGCUCCUGCUGCCUGGUGGGGGUUGGAAAGUUUCGGCGGUUGGGGAUGGACUCGCGGCUUAUCAGCUUGUUGGUGGGGUAGUGGCUUACCAAGGCUUUGACGGGUAGCCGGCCUGAGAGGGUGACCGGCCACAUUGGGACUGAGAUACGGCCCAGACGCCUACGGGAGGCAGCAGGGGGGAAUAUUGCACAAUGGGCGGAAGCCUGAGGCAGCAACGCCGCGGGCGGGAUGACGGCCUUCGGGUUGUAAACCGCUUUCGCCUGUGACGAAGCGUGAGUGACGGUAAUGGGUAAAGAAGCACCGGCUAACUACGUG
rnacentral:rRNA from 1 species